rnacentral:lncRNA from 1 species
CAGCCCCAGGAGUUCUUCAGUUCCCCAAAUGAUUACACUGCUCCCUCCUCUCUCCUUUUCCCUAGUGACUUCAGAAAAGAGUGCAGAAAACUCUUGAUCCCUCACGCUUCAGACAAGAUAAGGGGCCAGAGACAAGGAAGUGAUGGUAUCAGGGAACUUGAGAAGAUGUCUGCUCAGGUUAAUGAGGAAAAGGUGAGAAAUGCACAGGAGAAGGAAAACUUUGACCAGGCAGCCCCAUGACAUCACACUGAUAGCAGAGGCUGAGCAGGCGGUGUGACAUUAAAUGUAUCUGCUGAAUAAUUCCCAGGUACCUUCACAUAGCUCAUGCUUCCACUGACCUAGUUCAAUAUAUUCUUUAGGCCAGGGCUUCCAGUGGGGAGGAAGAACUUGAUAUGGUCCAGCCUCAUCCUUGGAGACUCUCCAUGUGAGGAGUCAGCAAGUGAAGGAAGCUAUUCCCACUGCAGGUCCUUGUGCACUCCAGGCAGAAGGUGGC